GGAGGGCUCGCAUAGUGGCCUAGUGCGGCGGUCUUGAAAACCGCUGUUGAGUGAUCCUCAACCGUGGGUUCGAAUCCCACGCCCUCCG
rfam:Actinobacterium acAMD-2 AMD-COM-C85, whole genome shotgun sequence.